rnacentral:misc_RNA from 1 species
AACCCUUGUGGAGGAGGACGCCGAAGGUGGGGCUAAUGACUGGGGUGAAGUCGUAACAAGGUAGCCGUACCGGAAGGUGCGGCUGGAUCACCUCCUAACAGGGAGACAACAAAAUGUUUAAUAUUAUUAUUUUGUCACCUUAGGUCGAUCGGUAUCUCACGUUUUUAAUUUAUUAAGAAUUUCAUUUCCUAAGUUUUUCUAGGUCACACCCAUUAUUUUUCCUGGGCCAUUAGCUCAGGUGGUUAGAGCGCACCCCUGAUAAGGGUGAGGUCCCUGGUUCAAGUCCAGGAUGGCCCAUAUCUCUAUGUUGGGGGUAUAGCUCAGUUGGUAGAGCGCCUGCUUUGCAAGCAGGAUGUCAGCGGUUCGAGUCCGCUUACCUCCACUGAUUACCACCUCUUCCAUAACCGGUAGAAAGGAAAUGUUUUGAGUUGUGAUCAAAUCCUGAAAGAAUCUAGCUUCCUAAUGAAAUCAUUAAGAUGCUGGACUCAUUGAAUUAACUUCAUUGUUUUCAGAGAACCUUGACAACUGCAUAGAUUAUUUUUAAAGACAAUAAGCAUCUUUAAUGAUGCAGAUUUAUUAUUUGUGCGAAUGCAUUAAUAACAAUUCUAUUAAGCUGAUGCUUCAAUUUUUGAAGUUAUUGGUCAAGCUACAAAGGGCUCACGGAGGAUACCUAGGCACACAGAG